GGCCAUAUAGUUUUGAAAUAUGGGUUCCCGUACGAUCGCCGAAGUUAAGCAACGUCGAGCCUGGUCUUUACCUAGAUGGGUAACUGCCUGGGAAUACCAGGUUCUGUAAG